CCGCAAGCCUGAUGCACCUGCCACGUGUGUGAAGAAGCCUUCGGGUUGUAAAGCACUUUCAGUCGUGAGGAAGGUGUGUAGUUAAUAGCUGCAUUAUUUGACGUUAGCGACAGAAGAAGCACCGGCUAACUCCGUGCCAGCAGCCGCGGUAAUACGGAGGGUGCUGAGCGUUAAUCGGAAUUACUGGGCGUAAAGCGCAUGCAGGUGGUUUGUUAAGUCAGAUGUGAAAGCCCGGGGCUCAACCUCGGAAUAGCAUUUGAAACUGGCAGACUAGAGUACUGUAGAGGGGGGUAGAAUUUCAGGUGUAGCGGUGAAAUGCGUAGAGAUCUGAAGGAAUACCGGUGGCGAAGGCGGCCCCCUGGACAGAUACUGACACUCAGAUGCGAAAGCGUGGGGAGCAAACAGGAUUAAGAUACCCUGGUAGUCCACGCCGUAAACGAUGUCUACUUGGAGGUUGUGGCCUUGAGCCGUGGCUUUCGGAGCUAACGCGUUAAGUAGACCGCCUGGGGAGUACGGUCGCAAGAUUAAAACUCAAAUGAAUUGACGGGGGCCCGCACAAGCGGUGGAGCAUGUGGUUUAAUUCGAUGCAACGCGAAGAACCUUACCUACUUUGACAUCCAGAGGCUCAUAAGCGUGGUCAGUCG
rnacentral:rRNA from 1 species